AUUCUACAAGUAAGUUUAGGAUUCUACAAGUGGUGAGGAAUAUAUAAUCACUUCGAGAUUUCAUUUUGGAUUUAUUGAUUCUAUGUAUAUUUGGUUUUAUGACUGUAAAAUAUCUGGCUUUGGAUUUAUUGAUUCUAUGUAUGUAUCAUAUCGAUAUGGUAAUCCAAACAUUUAUACUAGUAACAAUCAAAGUGGUUAUUCUUUUUCUAUUGAUGCAAGAGAUGAAGAGUCAGCUGUUUUCACCCUCCAUUACCAAGCGAACCAGCCAAAAAACUAGGUUUUGGGAGGGGCAACAUUAAACCAUAAUAGCUUAGGCACAAGCAAAUUGGAUCCAUGUUGGUCUUCAGCCCACCUUCUGAUAGCAGCCACAGAACUUUGAGUUGAGAACAUGGAAGCAAGAUCAAAGAGUUGAAGAAGAAAUAUGUUACAAGAAAUGUGAUCAAUAUAAGAAGAAAUGCUCCCAAUUUUAAGGUUUUCAUUCUCUCUCUCUAGCCAAUCUCUUUAUGUAGACAGUGUAUUAUAGUGCUUGAUAUGAAGCAUAUUUCAAGUUUUAGCUAUAUAUAGAUCUGAUGGUGGAAAAAAUACAUUGGAGACUUCAAAUAUUUUAAGUUAGUGUUUCUACAAGUCAGGAUAGCAGCCAUAGACUAUUGUGUUAAAUAAUAACUAAAAGCCCCAUUAUUAGUUUAUGAGUUGCACUAGAGAGUUUUACGUGUACUUGACAUCACAAUUUCCAUAACCAUUAAAACACUCGGCAGCAAAACAGAGCUAGCAGCAGCAAGGCAGAAUCAACAGUAGCAAGGCAAAGACACACUCCCACACAACACCUGGGUAGCUAUUCAUAGCAGCUAAACUAAAGCAAGCACAACACAAACUAGAAUUUAUAGACAUUAGCAGCAGGCAAACACGGCACCUGGAUAGAUUUACACAGCAGAUCACAUGACACUCCAGUAGAAUGUGUAGACAGACCACCAGAGUUUAGCCUAACCAGUUCCAUAUUUGAGGUACCAACACAAAAACAGUAAACAGCUCCAUUCUACAUAAAGAAAUACAACAAUAUCUAAUGCUAUCAACAUGUCCCUAGAACUAAUGGAGAAAUACCUUCUGUUGAUGAAGCAACUUUAGACCAUCAAAGAUUAUUGGACAGGUAUUCAGCUAUUGUUUUAGGAUUGGACAAAAGCUCCCCUUCCCCUCGUCCAGAGAAGAAAAUAUAUAUAUGCAUCUUUGUCUCUUUUGCCUUCCUUUAUUUGUUUAUUUAUUUAUUUUAUUAUUAUUAUUUAUUUUUUUUUGCAACUGUGGGAUUUUUAUUUCAUAUAUAUAGUUUUUGAUGUUGGAGAUGUCUGUUGGAGAGAUUUUUAUUUUUGCAGGUAAGAAAUUUCUUGGAAAGAUGCAAAAUGUGGUCAAAGACAAAAAUUGAAUAAUUUGUGUGUGAAGCCAAAAUCAACAAACUUUGAUCCAUAAGUCGGAAGGAAAGUUUGGACAAGGUGGCCUGAAGACAAUAACUUCUAUGAGGCGGUUAUAACUGACUACAAUCCUGUUGAGGGCCGGCAUGCUUUGGUUUAUGAUAUUAGUACAGCAGAUGAAACAUGGGAAUGGGUCAAUCUCAAAGAGGUAAAAGAUGGCCCUUUCUCUGAAUUUACUUGCAUGGCCUACAUUCCUCCUGGUUAAUCUUUUCUUGCAUGAUCAUAAACAUCCAAGAAAUUCUGAUUACAAUAUAUUAAUGCUUGAAAAUUGAGGAACAAAAACGACUGUAUCUACUCUAGUAUCUAUGCAUCUUGUUCUUGUGCCUUUGUGUGGAUGCUAGCUUCAUGUUUGUUAUCUGGCUCUCUCUUUGCUGAAUUGUUAAUUGGUUACUUUAUUGACAUCAUUUUUCAUAUUUUCAUUGUUACCACCAAGUGAUAAUCUGGUUGAACAACAGAAUAUAGUAGUGUGAAUUGUAGCUUACAUAUUCUUCAUGUAGAAA